rnacentral:lncRNA from 1 species
CACUUCAAAGCAAAGCGUUCGUACGUGCUGGAAGAUGGAUCCACGGACGACGCUGCAACGAGCAUUUGCAACGUGACCGGUGUCAGCGGUCGGUGGUACUGUCAUCAUGGAAGUUUUCAGGCAAUGUCCCCGCCGUGAAAGCCGAGUUUGGUUUCGAGCUAUUCAGGACAAAUGCAGCAUGAGGCACUGUUUCUCGGGAGGACCAGUGGGAAGGCGUCAGGUCAUGCGGAUGAUAGCAGCAGCUUCACAAUGCCCAGCCUUGGUGCCCUCCAUCAAGAGCAAGCCACUUCCGUUCACCUUCAGACAGAUGGCUAAUGUCUUGUUCGAUGCAGGAUUGCAAGAUUCCAGUAUAGCCAUGCGCUGCAUUUAUUGGUCAAGAUGCUCAGAGAAUGGAGAGUCCCUGUACCUUGCCGUAAACUUUGAACAGGAUUUUCUUUUCUUUUUGAAAGCUAAAUGCCAUUUGUUGCUCAAAUGCGUACCAUAUUUUUUUCUAAUCUUGAAUCAAUUAGUAUACACUGUUCAUUAUAUUUAUACUGUUUGAUGCAACCAUUUCUUACUGGCAAAUGUCAAGUGUGAUACUGAACUUGAACUUAUGCAUGACUGCCUGUGCCUAUGUUCUUUUAGUAACCAGAGCAUCGCUGACUUAAUAAACCAUAUUUGCUCAUUUCCAUACUCACAUGCUACAGCAAGCCCUAAGCUUGGAUUACCGCAUCUUAAGUGCAAGUACAGUAGACUCUCGUUAAUUCAAACUCGAAGGGGCCCCAGGAUUUUGUUUGAAUUAUCAGGAAGUUUGAAUUAUAGGAACUUCUCGCGUAUAUGACUGAGCAAGAUUACAGUGCACAUUACAAUUAAUUAUCCACUUAAAUCAUAUUUUAAACAUUUCACUCUUUAAUUACACCGUAAAAACAGAGCAGAGGUGAAGAAUCCAGAACAAGUUUAAUGGAAAUCUAUGGCUGACUAGACCGUUUGAAGAAAUCAUGAAUUGUUGAUUGUUUUUUCUUUACAUGUGCAUUAAGAACAACGAUCUCUAUUCCAUUAAGAGCAGCCAGUUGUUCUUGAGAAUUUUCUUCUACAGUCAGAAAUUUGCGGACCUCGGCAAUGUAGUGGAAGGCCUGUGCUGCUGUCACAGAGGAUUGCUCUUCUGUUUCCUCUUCACUUUCGCUGCUGUACUGUGCUGGCAGCACCUCAUCCACCAAGUCGUCCAGGGUGUCUUCCCUGCACACGCAGAGGUUAUCAUCGGCUGCCUUCUCAAGCUCCGGAUGCGCCGCCUCCCUAAGCCUUUUUCUGUCGGGAGCGAAAUGGCCUGCGUUGUUUCGCAGCUUGUCUUUCGCUUUCACAAUCGUUGUCAGCAUACUUUUUGUGAUUCCAUACUUCAAUGCCACAGAAGUCUUCUUCGCUCCAGCCUCAACUUCUAUGGCUGCCAAUUUUUCUUUCACAGAAAGGGUUCGGUACUUCCCCCGCGGAGACAUGAUGCUACCAACGCGGGCGACUGACCAGGGAAAGAAAAGCGCGAGCAGUCACGUAAUUCGGAAUCGGCCGAUGCUACUCGCGUCACUUUCGCACCUUUUUUUUUUCCUUU